UUACAGAUAACACUAUAUGAAUGGCCACCAAAGUUAACAUCUCGUAUAGCUGUAAGGACAACACCUUCUAUGUAAAACAAGAACGAUGCUGUGACUCUUCUGGUGAACAAUUUCAAUCAUAUUAUGAUGUAUCCUGUCCUAGAUUGAGUAAAGUUAUAUCCAGCGAUCAUCUGAUUUCCUGUGUACUAGACUAAUUCAGGCAGUUGAUUCAAGCGUGAUUAUAAGGUCAUGCUUGUGUAAAAAAAUCUUAUUUCAUGACCUCACCAAGAGUAUAUAAGGCCUGGCAGAAGCAAUUCAACCGGCUAUCAUAAGGCAGAGAACGAGCUAUUAGGUUCUUUUCAAAGACUAUUCUGUGUUCUUUGUUACAACCGCUGUUACCAGAUUCUAAAUUAGUAAACGUAACAGAAAACUGCCAUGAACCUUGAAUUCAUAUUUCUUGGUAGCAUUGUGCUUGCAACCAUUUUUGUCUUCCUGAAGAUUUUACUAGAGGUAAGCUGUAUAUAGGCAAUUGUAC
rnacentral:lncRNA from 1 species